AACGAACGCUGGCGGCAGGCCUAACACAUGCAAGUCGAGCGAGGACUUCGGCCCUAGCGGCGGACGGGUGAGUAACGCGUGGGAACGUGCCCCUUGGUACGGUAUAGCCCCGGGAAACUGGGAGUAAUACCGUAUGAGCUCUACGGAGGAAAGAUUUAUCGCCAAGGGAUCGGCCCGCGUUGGAUUAGGUAGUUGGUGGGGUAAUGGCCUACCAAGCCGACGAUCCAUAGCUGGUUUGAGAGGAUGAUCAGCCACACUGGGACUGAGACACGGCCCAGACUCCUACGGGAGGCAGCAGUGGGGAAUCUUAGACAAUGGGCGCAAACCUGAUCUAGCCAUGCCGCGUGAGCGAUGAAGGCCUUAGGGUUGUAAAGCUCUUUCAGCUGGGAAGAUAAUGACUGUACCAGCAGAAGAAGCCCCGGCUAACUCCGUGCCAGCCGCCGCCGUAA
rnacentral:rRNA from 1 species